rnacentral:rRNA from 1 species
CUUGGUGACAAUAGCCUUGUGGAACCACCUGAUCCCAUCCCGAACUCAGCAGUGAAACGCAAACGCGCCGAUGGUAGUGUGGGGUCUCCCCAUGUGAGAGUAGGUCAUCGCCAAGC